UACGGGGGGGACAAGUGUUAUUCGGAGUAAUUUGGCGUAAAGGGUUUGAAGAUGGUUUAAUUAAUAUAAUUUUUAACGAAAUCUUAAAUCAAGAUUAAAAUACUUUAACUUUAAGAAAUGUUUUAAAUUAACUUAGACUAGAGAUUAUUAGACGAUGGAAGAACUUUAAAUGUAGAGAUAAAAUUUUUUGAUAUUUAAAGGAACACCAAUAGCGAAGGCAUCCAUCGAGGAUAAAUCUGACAUUGUAAAACGAAAGUAUAGGUAGCGAAUGGGAUUAGAGACCCCAGUAGUCUAUACUGUAAACACUGAAUGUUAAAUAUCAGAAAUUUUUUGGUAUUAAAGUUAACACGUUAAACAUUCCGCCUGAGGAUUACGGUCGCAAGAUUAAAACUCAAAGGAAUUGGCGGGAAUCUGCACAAGCGGUGGAGCAUGUUGUUUAAUUCGAUAAUCCGCGAGAAACCUUACCAACUCUUGACAUAUUAUACAGGUGUUGCAUGGCUGUCUUAAGUUCGUGUCGUGAGAUGUUAGAUUAAUUUCUGCAACGAACGAAACCCCCGUUUUUAAUUGCUAAUUUUUAAAAUAUUUUUAAAAAUGCACUUUAAAAAUAUCGCCAUAUAUUUUUUUGUAAAAUGGAGGAAGGUGGGGAUAACGUCAAGUCUUCAUGGCCUUUAUGAGUUGGGCUACAGACGUGCUACAAUGAUAAUUACAAAAAGAUGCAAAAAUGUAAAUUUUAGCAAAUCUUUAAAAAUUAUCCUAGUUCGGAUUGUAGACUGAAAUUCGUCUACAUGAAGUUGGAAUCGCUAGUAAUCAUAAAAUAGAUCGUUAUGGUGAAUAUGUUCUCAGAUUU
rnacentral:rRNA from 1 species